AGAAACUGGUAGAGAGAGGGCUAAAGAGGUGAAGCAGCAGCUCCUCGCUGGCCGGGGUGGAAAGGAGGCUUGACUGCCACAGAUAUAGGUGGCGACUAAUGGGCUCAAGGCUCAGUGCUCCACAGUGGGGAAGGAAGUUGGGGAUAAGAUGGAAGCAGACUGAGGAAAGAACAGGUCAAGGUAGUAUAAAAAGAAAAAGAACAUCAAUUAGUUGAAACAUGUUUGAAGAGCUUUGAUGGGCUUUUGGAGAACCUUGGUAGCAAAAUAUGUGUUUUGGGUAAAAUAUUUGAAUAAAGAACCAAGAAGGAA